UUAUUUUUCCAUUUCUCUGUCUGAGAAUUUUCAGUCGGACGAAGCGCGGGAAGCGGUUGCCUUCGUGCAUCCGUCGAACUUACUUACCGCCGCUCAACCUUGCCACUCGCUCAGCGAUAUCACAAGUCAGAUCGCGCUUGGUCAUCUGCUUCGGUUGUCGUCCCAAGUAGGAAGAUAGGAAAGAUAAGACAGAGAAGCUAGGUCAGGCAUCCAACGAACAGAAAACGGAGGAAACCAAGCCAAUAAAGCUUUAGACGAAGAUGGCUAAAUCGGGGCGUCGCAUGUGUUGCGUGGCUCUGUGGGGCUCUAACACCGAGAGUUCCAGUCCUGCGAAGUUUUUCACGUUUCCUAAUGACAGCCGGAGCUGGCCACGUAACUGAAGCCGAGUUUCUGCAGGAUGUACCGGCCCGUGGCUGUCAGGGACAUGCAUUCGAAUUGCGAGGCUCUUUGCGCAUCCACGAUUUCCUCAAGUGUGUUGUAUACCCCCGACUGUAGCAGACGAGCAGUGCUUGUGAACUCCGCGUGCGGGCAAGCCAUUCUCCUCUUACACGGACUUCUCGGUGCACCGCAGCAACAGAACUGGCAAAAAUUAUUGUUGAGUGUCCGCAUAAUUAUCGUAAUAAAAUAGA